rnacentral:rRNA from 1 species
GGAGUUAGCCGGUGCUUCUUCUGUGAGUGAUGUCCUUCCUGCCGGUUAUUGACCCGCAGGCCUUCUUCCUCACUGAAAGUGCUUUACAACCCGAAGGCCUUCUUCACACACGCGGCAUGGCUGGAUCAGGGUUGCCCCCAUUGUCCAAUAUUCCCCACUGCUGCCUCCCGUAGGAGUCUGGGCCGUGUCUCAGUCCCAGUGUGGCUGAUCAUCCUCUCAGACCAGCUACGGAUCGUCGCCUUGGUGAGCCGUUACCUCACCAACCAGCUAAUCCGACAUAGGCUCAUCCGAUAGCGCGAGGCCCGAAGGUCCCCCGCUUUCCCCCGUAGGGCGUAUGCGGUAUUAGCCUGGGUUUCCCCCAGGUUAUCCCCCACUACCCGGGGCCAGAUUCCUAUGCAUUACUCACCCGUCCGCCGCUCGCCACCAGGGAGCAAGCUCCCCGUGCUGCCGCUCGACUUGCAUGUGUUAGGCCUGCCGCCAGCGUUCAAUCUGAGCCAGGAUCAAACUCUGA